GAUAAAAUCCUUAAAUUAUAAUUUUAUUUUAAUUUUAGUUAUCAGUGCAGCGGUUCAAUUUAAUAUUAAUGUGAAUAAACAGGCAGAAGCAGAGACAGAGCUAGCGUUAGAGGAUUUUUAGCAGACUUAGUGGGACAUUAGAUGACGUAAAGUCGUGACACACAAGAGACACAAGUGUUUAGAUAACUGUAAAAAAUAUAAUGGCAAGUUUAAGAGCGAAACAGAGAGACACGGUGGGCGCUGGUUUAUAACAAGAAAGGCAACGACCUCGAGACUUCGAUUGCCAACUUAGAUUUGUAAUAUGGUGAAUGAUGCAAGAUAACUUGACUGGGCUGAAUUGCCUUAUAAGAGUUCAGUUGGUUGAAGAAUCUGAGAUAAGAAGAUUAAAUUGAAAAUACGGUGACAAAUUAAAUGAAUAAUCAGUACGUGGAAAAAAUUAAAGUUAAUUUUUUUGCUGCGUACCGGGAAUUCAAAUGUAUCGUUUUGUAAUGAGUAAUGACGAUAAUUAUGGUGGAGGUGAUAAUGACCAUGAAAAUGAUGAUAUGUAAGACGUUUUUGAUUCAGGUCAUGCUCGGCAAUUAAUGAAGAUUUUAUUUUUUUUUUUCUAGCGUCAAUGCGAGUAGAGAAAUUUAUCAAUUAUUAAUCAUUAAUUGGAUUUUAAUUUAAUUAUUCUGAGAAAAGAAGAAGAAAUAAAUGAAUGGUAAUAUUAUUUAGUGUUUAAAGUUUCAGAUUAAAACUGAUGAAAGUGUAUGAGACAAACGUCACGCCUAUAUUUGGAGAGAUGGACGUGGGUGUUGUGAUGUAAAGAGUAUAAGAAGAAUGAACUGAGGAAUCUAGACGUUUAUUGCUCCUGACGAUCUCCGAGGAUUUGUUGUUAUUGAUACUUUUUAUUUAUUAAUUGUCAUAUUUUUUAUAUGGAUUUUCUGAUAAUUUAUUAUUAUUAAUAAAAUUAAUUUCAUUCAUUGAAAAGUUAUUGAAGGAUCCAUUAAUUACGGUAAUAGAUUAGAAAGGUUAUAACUUUAGAUUAAUUAUUGUACCGGUAUUUUAAAAAUGACACCUUGAAGCUUUGUGUUAUUGAUCAUUCUGAUAUUGAUUAUUUUAAUGGAUUAAAUUAUCUUGAGAAGCUGAAGAUUAUA